ACACAUGCCUAGUAAGGGUAAUACCAUGAUCACAAAGGCAGGUUUCCAAGGGUGAGGAGUAUCUGGAUAGCAUGUGCUGUCCCUUGAGAUUUCCCCAAAUAUAGGAAAAUUGACUGUAUAAAUUGUGGUAACAGAAAACUGCUUAUGCUUUCCC
rnacentral:snRNA from 1 species